UGGGGAAUAUUGCGCAAUGGGCGAAAGCCUGACGCAGCGACGCCGCGUGGGUGAUGAAGGCCUUCGGGUCGUAAAGCCCUGUCGGGGGGGAAGAAACGUCUCGGGCCUAAUAUGCUCGAGAAUUGACGGUACCUCCUAAGGAAGCACCGGCUAACUCCGUGCCAGCAGCCGCGGUAAUACGGAGGGUGCUAGCGUUGUUCGGAAUCACUGGGCGUAAAGGGCGUGUAGGCGGUCCGCUAAGUCUGAUGUGAAAUCCCCUCGCUCAACGAGGGAACUGCGUCGGAUACUGGCGGACUUGAGUACCGGAGAGGAAGGUGGAAUUCCCGGUGUAGCGGUGAAAUGCGUAGAUAUCGGGAGGAACAUCGGUGGCGAAGGCGGCCUUCUGGACGGAUACUGACGCUGAGACGCGAAAGCGUGGGGAGCAAACAGG
rnacentral:rRNA from 1 species